CUCUAAAUGAUUGGAGUAAACAUUUAAGAGUUUUCUUUUCGUUUUUUUCUUUUCAUUUUUGUAUUCAUAUAAAUUCACCAUUUAGGGGUUACCCCCCAUUUUGUUUCUACCCAUAUUCGUGCCUCAUAUUUACAUCUAGGCUCUCCUUCUUUUUUUUUUUUUACUUAAACAUUUAAGAGUACACUAAACUGUACUCAAUAAGGUAAACAUAAUAAUAUCAAAGUAUACUGGAACUAAGUGUCAGACUCAUCCAACUGGGUUGCACUCACCUUAAUUUAAAAAAAAG